AGCUUUGCACAAUGGCAGUAUCGUAGCCAAUGAGGUUUAUCCGAAGCGCAAUUAUUGCUAAUUGAAAGUCUCAUUCAACCUUGAUUUGCCGAGUCUUUUUAUUGUUUCAAUCUUGUCUUCUUUUAUUACGCACAAUG